UGUUGCUGAAAUAAUUUCUGAAGUAACGUUAACUGUCUAAAUCCUCUCUGUGAAGGGCAGAAAGCGAACAAAAACACUCUGCAGCAAAUAAAUAAAUAAGAAAAAAGAUUGCCAUCACUCAUUAAAUCAUUGUGGAUUCUUACAAUACUGAUGUAGGCCCUACUACUGUAAAGCACAUGCACUACUCAUGUAAGAAGCAAUUGUGCUCAGAUCUAAUUUCAUUUGUUCACCACUAGAGGAUGGUCCAUGGCCAACCAGGAGAUUUGCGUAGUCAGUAGUCUGUGUGGACUUACAGCCUGUGAAGCAUUGUCUGCCAGUCUGUCUAGACAAAUUACAUAAUUUUCUUCACUGUCUUUUCAUACUACACAUCAUUUUAUACCGGGUCUGGCUUUGGACAUAUUGAGAAACAUUUUCCUUCAGUUAGUGUUAAAACUCUGUGAACUGAACGUCAUAAGAAGACAAGUCAAGUCAAGUCAGCUUUUAUUGUCACUUUCUUCAUAUGCACAAGACAUACAAGGGAACUGAAAUUACGUUUUCUCUCUAUACGCUUAGGUGACAAGGGAAACAUCAAAUCAUUGUGAAGUUUUGCACAGUCUACACACGUAAAAAAUAAUCUUUAUUGAUUCCUAACCAGAGUGCUCUUCCUACUCUCCCCAACCCAACUGCACCAGAUUCUCACUAUCUAGACACAAGCGUUUAACUUCGAUGUGCGUAGAACCAUCGUUUCGAAUGGUGCCUGUUUAAGUCUGAUUUACAAUGUCUGGGAAUGCACAAUCAACCAAUCACAAUCCAGAAGGCCAACACACAGAGACAUACCAAAAUGGACACUUUUUGUGAUUUUUUUGUAAUAAUAACAUAAUGCUGCCACUUUCAAAACAUUCAGUCCAUACAUAAGGUGGUGAAUUGUGCAAAGUCAAUAGAUCAACAGUACUACAUUGUUGAAGGCCAACAUGAAUCUGAUCACUCUUAUGAUUUAGCCCUGGAACAUAGUAGAGGAUGUAUGGUAAUAUCUAAAGGUCUUCCUUCAAAAACGGGAAACUGUUUACAGAAAUUGAUAAAACCCAGAUUAGUGGAGAAACACUGCCUCUUGCAGGAAAGUAGGCCUAUAUUGUAUUGUAUAGAUUAGAUUAGAUUGCAUUAGAUUAGAUUAAAUAUAAUUUAUCCCCAAGGGGAAGUCUUUUUCUGGGUUGGUCUGUAGAUUAAAAAGAGAAGAAAAAAAAUAACGUUAAAAAUAGAUACAAAAUAAAUAAGGUGAUCAUGCAGAAAAGUCCAGGAGUAUCUUUAUGUCCUUAAUGGACAUAUUAUAAAGUUGUAUGGCUCUUACAAAUGAUUUCCCCAGUCUGUCUGGCCUGAAUUUCAGUUCCCUCAGCAUUUUUCUCAUCACUUUCAGGAGGAAACAGAAUACAUUACAAUUUGGGUGAAAGUACUAAAUGUACCUGUAUUUAGUUUCGGUUUGUUUUUUUAUGUUCAAAAUAGUAUGUCAUAUUCACUGCAACAAUACUGUAGAGAAAUCCUGCUGUAGAAUGUAAAUGUAGCAGUAAAUCUGUCAGGACCAUUAUGGUCGAGAAACACAAGACAAGAAGUUCAAAAUGCAUUUUUGUUAUUUAUUGAAUAGUUAUGAAUUAGAUUUGGCAGUAUGGCUCUGUUCAGAGGAGUCCGCUGGAUUUUCAUGAACACCAUGGAAAGGAUGGAUUCAGGGAGCAGCAGAAGCGUAGGGAAUGCUGACCCAAUUUAAGAUUAGGUGGGCAAGCAAUUCCCCCAUGAAAAAAGCAGGCAGCAUGACAAGGUGUAGCCCAUGCCAUGUCUUACACGACAAGGUGGAGUUGGGGAGGUGGUGGGUUGCGAAGAAGCGAGCAGCCAGGGUUGGAAACAAAACAGAGAACUUUUGAAAGGCGCCAAAUUUGAAACUGACCAA